rnacentral:rRNA from 1 species
UACGAAGGGGGGCUAGCGUUGUUCGGAAUACUGGGCGUAAAGCGUGCGCAGGCGGCUGCUCAAGUCAGGGGUGAAAGCCCAGAGCUCAACUCUGGAAUUGCCUUUGAGACUGAGUGGCUUGAGGGCGGGAGAGGUCGGUGGAAUUCCCGGUGUAGUGGUGAAAUGCGUAGAGAUCGGGAGGAACACCUGUGGCGAAGGCGGCCGACUGGGCCGACCCUGACGCUGAGGCGCGAAGGCGUGGGGGAGCGAACGGG